GGGAUAUUAGCAUAGUGGUAAUGUAUCUGGCUUCCACCCAGAGUAGAGGGGUUCGAUUCCCCUAUAUCCCUC
rnacentral:tRNA from 1 species